rnacentral:pre_miRNA from 1 species
AAUAAAUCAAUCUUUCACUUUUUACCUACAACGUAUGACUCUUCGUCUUAUUAAAAAAUUUAUGAUUAAUAUUUUUGUUUUUAUUAGAUGAUAAAUUAUGAAUAGCAUUUUACGUGUAACUAAUUUUUUUCAAUGUUCUUAAAAUCUUUUAAAUAAGACGGAUGAUCAAAGGCAGCAUAAAACUAAAAGUUUAUCUUAUC